GGAAGUCCGCCAUCUGCAAGCCAAGAGAGGGAUCUCCCCGGAACCCUGCCACGCUGGCACCCUGAUCGGGGACUUCCAGUCUCUCCAGAACGCUCUGGCUUGUCAGAGGCACUCAGCAAAUCAUUGCCAGAGAGAAGAAUGGAUGAGCCAAGGGUUGUGCCUGACAGUUGGCUGCCUGGCCUCGGGGGAAGACCUCUGCCCUUGGAAGACCUUUGGAAGCAUCGUGGACUUGUUCGUUUGAGACAGAUGGUGUUUGCAGAAAAAGGAAAACUAGGAAAGGAGCGGAGGGGGUAUCCAAGCUUCCUCUUGCUGUUCCCAGACCGUUUCCACGCCACCCUCAAGGCACAAGGAAAACAGUAGCUUGAGUCUUCUGUCUUCCGUCUCCACUUUCCCCGGCUUCUUUUGGUGUCUCCAGCAUUACUCCUGUCCUCGUGGUUCCUGAUGUCAAUAUCCACAGGCGGAAAAGGAUCGAGCGGGAGGGCAGCUCCCGCUGAGAGCCACGAAGAUCCACCCGGAAUGUAGGUUUAAAUGCCGGGCUUCCCUGGUGGCUCAGUGGUUAACAAUCCGCCUGCCAGUGCAGGGGACACGGGUUCGAGCCCUGGUCCAGGAAGAUCCCACAUGCCGCGGAGCCACUAAGCCCGUGUGCCACAACUACUGAACCUGCGUGCUGCAGCUACUGCAGCCCGCACGCCUCGAGCCCGCAACAAGAGAAGCCCCCGCAAUGAGAAGCCCGCGCACCGCAACGACCAGUAACCCCCGCUCGCCGCGACGAGAGCAAGCCCCCGAGCAGCAACGAAGAUCCAACGCAGCCAAAAAUAAAUAAA